rnacentral:rRNA from 1 species
CACGUAGGGUGCGAGCGUUGUCCGGAAUUAUUGGGCGUAAAGAGCUCGUAGGCGGUGUGUCGCGUCGGCCGUGAAAACCUGCAGCUUAACUGUGGGCUUGCGGUCGAUACGGGCAUCACUGGAGUUCGGCAGGGGAGACUGGAAUUCCUGGUGUAGCGGUGAAAUGCGCAGAUAUGAGGAGGAACACCGGUGGCGAAGGCGGGUCUCUGGGCCGAUACUGACGCUGAGGAGCGAAAGCGUGGGGAGCGAACAGG